rnacentral:sRNA from 1 species
CAUAGGACAGAGCGGCGACCAUAGAGCAGAGCGGAGACCAAAGACCAGAGCAGAUCACCAUAGAACAGAGCGGAGGACCAUAGAACAGAGCUGAGCACCAUAGAACAUAGCAGAUCACCAUAGAACAGAGCGGAGACCAUAGAACAGAGCAGAUCACCAUAGAACAGAGCGGAGACCAUAGAACAGAGCAGAUCACCAUAGAACAUAGCAGAUCACCAUAGAACAGAGCAGAUCACCAUAGAACAGAGCGGAGACCAUAGAACAGAGCAGAUCACCAUAGAACAGAGCGGAGACCAUAGAACAGUGCAGAUCACCAUAGAACAUAGCAGAUCACCAUAGAACAGAGCGGAGACCAUAGAACAGAGUGAAGCACCAUAGAACAGAGCGGAGACCAAAGACCAGAGCAGAUCACCAUAGAACAGAGCGGAGACCAUAGAACAGAGCGGAGACCAAAGACCAGAGCAGAUCACCAUA